AGGACCCAUUUCAAGAAUGGCCUUAUCAACACCUGGGCCAGAGAACAUGGCAUUGAAUGGGUAUAUUAUAUCCCUUAUCAAGGACCAGCUGCUGGGAAAGUUGAACGGUGCAACAGACUACUUAAGACCACCCUAAAGGCACUUAGCAGAGGGACAUUCAAGAAUUGGGAAAUGAACUUAGCAAAGGCCAUCUGGAUGGUCAACACUUGAGGGUCCAUCAAUCGAGCUGGUCCUGCCCAGUCUGAACCCCUGCACACAGUGAAUGGAAAUAAAGUCCCUGUGGUGCAUCAAAGGAAUUC